CCUUUUCGGGGGGCCCUUUCAACGGCCCAAUUCUAAGAAUGUGGCCCUCAGAAUGGGAAUUUAGCUUAGUAGGGUGGGGGUAAUGGCUCACCUAGGCGACGAUCUCUAGCUGGUCUGAGAGGAUGACCAGCCACACUGGAACUGAGACACGGUCCAGACUCCUACGGGAGGCAGCAGUGGGGAAUAUUGCACAAUGGGCGCAAGCCUGAUGCAGCCAUGCCGCGUGUAUGAAGAAGGCCUUCGGGUUGUAAAGUACUUUUAGCGAGGAGGAAGGCAUUGUGGUUAAUAACCGCAGUGAUUGACGUUACUCGCAGAAGAAGCACCGGCUAACUCCGUGCCAGCAGCCGCGGUAAUACGGAGGGUGCAAGCGUUAAUCGGAAUUACUGGGCGUAAAGCGCACGCAGGCGGUUGAUUAAGUCAGAUGUGAAAUCCCCGAGCUUAACUUGGGAACUGCAUUUGAAACUGGUCAGCUAGAGUCUUGUAGAGGGGGGUAGAAUUCCAGGUGUAGCGGUGAAAUGCGUAGAGAUCUGGAGGAAUACCGGUGGCGAAGGCGGCCCCCUGGACAAAGACUGACGCUUCAGGUGCGNAAAGNCGUGGGGNGACAAACGAGCAUGANAUACCCUGGUAGUCCACGCUGUAACANGUNUGAUCGUUANGGUGUGUCCGCGAUAGCGGUGCGUGUCGCUGAGCUAAGAGNCUGUGNUGUGGUGGGACGCGGUCGGUUCCCUCGGUCUUCUUUUCUCNCNUCCUUUUCCCC
rnacentral:rRNA from 1 species